rnacentral:rRNA from 1 species
CCCUUCGAUGUUCUGGGCCGCACGCGCGCUACACUGAUUGAGUCAACAAGUUUACAACCUUUUCCGAAAGGAAUGGGUAAUCUUUUGAAACUCAAUCGUGAUAGGGAUAGAUGAUUGCAAUUAUUUGUCUUAAACGAGGAAUGCCUAGUACGGAGGCUUCAACAGAGUCUCCGGAAUACGUCCCUGCCCUUUGUACACACCGCCCGUCGCUACUACCGAUUGGAUGGUUUAGCGAGAACUUUGGACCGGAGCUCGGGUGGUCAGCAAUGGCCGCCCGAGACAUACUGGGAAAUCGCUCCAGCUUGAUCAUCUAGAGGAAGUAAAAGUCGUAACA